rnacentral:rRNA from 1 species
GACGAACGCUGGCGGCGUGCUUAACACAUGCAAGUCGAACGGAAAGGCCCUGCUUGUGGGGUAUUCGCGAGUGGCGAGCGGGUGAGUAACACGGGAGUAACCUGCCCUUGACUGUGGUAUAACUGCAGGAAACUGUGGCUUAUACCGGAUAGGAGCUCCUGCUGCAUGGUGGGGGUUGGAAAGUUUCGGGGGGGGGGGAUGGGCGCGCGGCUUGUAAGCUGGUUGGUGGGUGACUGGCUUACAAAGGCGUUGCUGGGUGGCCGGCCUGGGUGGGUGACCGGCAACAUUGGGCCUGGGAUACGGCCCAGCCCCCACGGGGAGGAAGGAGUGGGGAUUAUUCAACAAGGGGCGGAAGCCGGAGGAAGCAACGCCGCGUGCGGGAUGACGGCCUUCGGGUGGUAACCCGUUUCCGCAUGUGCCGAAGCGUGAGUGACGGUAAUGGGUAAAGAAGCACCGGCUAACUACGUG